UACGGGGGGGCAAGCGUUGUUCGGAAUUACUGGGCGUAAAGGGCGCGUAGGCGGCCUUCUAAGUCGGACGUGAAAUCCCUCGGCUUAACCGAGGAACUGCGUCCGAUACUGAAAGGCUUGAAUCCGGGAGAGGGAUGUGGAAUUCCAGGUGUAGCGGUGAAAUGCGUAGAUAUCUGGAGGAACACCGGUGGCGAAGGCGGCAUCCUGGAUCCAACACUGACGCUGAGUGAGCGAAAGCCAGGGAGCAAACGGG
rnacentral:rRNA from 1 species